AAAAAUUCUCGUGCACGGGGCCCCACAAUAUCGACCACCGCGCUUGGAUCGAUCAGCCAGCGACGGCGUGUACGCCGCGCGUUGCGCGAAAAUCGAUUUCGGAAAACCGCGGCCAAUAAGGGCGCGGCGUAUCGGAGGCAAGAUGGGGCGCGUCGCCAAGCGGCCCCCGUAAGAUCCAGGAUCCCGCACUCGUGCUGCGGACGUUAUCUGAUAUAAUGCGUGCAAUCCGGAAUCCCGAGCAGCGAACUUUGUAAGAGAGGACGCAGGAGCCAGAGCACAUCCCGAUCUGGACGAGGCUGAGACGAAGGAGCCGGCUUGGUGAGACGAGCGUCGUAAAUUGUAAAGCCACCGAUUUCAUGAUUGGGCGACUCACGAAAGAAUAUCAUGGCUCUUAUAGAAAGUCAAUAUCUUAUUGAUGGUGUCUUCUACACUAUAAUAGAAACAGCAGAUAUUCAUGAAAAAAUACGAAAUGGUGAGUUAAAUAACAAAUAUACAUAAUAAUUAUAUAGUUUAAUUAAUUAAUGUAAAAUACAAAUCUAUUUGAAAAGUAUAUAUGAAAUAUAUGAAAAUAUAUUAAAUAUUUCUUUAUUAUAUAUUUAUACACAGAUGCUAACUUAGCAUUACAAUAUGUGGAUGAACAAAGGUCACGAUUAGAAUUUCAGCCACAAUCUGCAACAGAAAAAGAAAAUGAUGAUUCCUUUAUGUGGACGAAGAAUACAAUUCGAAUACGAAGAUUACUUCUAGAAGAAUACGAAAAGAGAAAGGACAAAUUUAGAAAUUCUUCUAUCAAAAAGAAGCUCUUAUGGACUGAGAUAAAAAACGAAUUCACCAAGCAUAAUUAUGUAGUAACUAAUGAUAGUUUAGAUAAAAAAUUUAGAAAUUUGAAAAAGACAUUUAAAAAUACACGAUAAUAAUAAAAAAACAAAUACUGGAAAAGGUGCUAUUACUUGGGAAUAUUAUAAUAUGUUUACAAAUAUAUUUGAUAACGAUAAAACUAUUUCCAUGGAUCAUGUCCUAAGUAGUAUGAGAUUUAUGGAUGAAAAAGAUAAAACUGCAAAUUCAGAAGUUAUAGGUAUACCGUCUAUUGAUUUAACAAAUCGUAUUAAUAUUUGUAAAAACCAAUGGAUACAGAUUCUACCUGUAGUAGCACUACUGAAAGCACAAUUACUAAAAGUGCAAAAAAUUCAACAAGAGUCGUUAAACAAAAUUAUAAUGUUUUUCGAAAAGAUUUACUAGAUAUGGGAAAAAAAAAAUUACAAGAAUCUAAAAAAUUGCGUGAAUCAAUAGACGAAAUAGUAAACGUGCAAAAA